UACGGAGGGGGCUAGCGUUGUUCGGAUUUAUUGGGCGUAAAGCGCGCGCAGGCGGUCCUUUAAGUCUGAUGUGAAAGCCCACGGCUCAACCGUGGAGGGUCAUUGGAAACUGGGGGACUUGAGUACAGAAGAGAAGAGUGGGAUUCCACGUGUAGCGGUGAAAUGCGUAGAGAUGUGGAGGAACACCAGUGGCGAAGGCGACUCUUUGGUCUGUAACUGACGCUGAGGCGCGAAAGCGUGGGGAGCAAACAGG
rnacentral:rRNA from 1 species